GGGCAAGUAUGGACAAAACAUUCAAGUGUGAUACAGCUCUGAAUUUGGAUUGUGAUCAAGUUUUGACAUUAUAGGGGUUUUUUACACAAAACAAAUGUCAAGAUUUUACAAAUCAAUUAAAGAUUUCUUCUUCAAACUUAUUUAAAUCUAAAAUUAAAUAGUUGACACAGCAUAGGUUUCUGACAAAGAAUGAAUGUGGUCUAAUGAACGUAAAAGAUUUUUUUUGCCUUUGAGCAAUUCACUUUGCUGUUGAAUAUUAAUCCUCUCAAAAAAAUGUUUGAAGAAAUUUUCUUUUUAUUUAUGAAAUCUGAAAUGAGAAAAAUUUAACCCCCCUCCCAUUUUUUUUUCACAUCCCCCUUUCCCUUUUUCCAAAACUGAUAUCAAUUCAAAUUUCUAAUGGAGUUUGCAACAAUAACUACUCUUAAAUACAUCAUAAAAUAUUAAAAUGUAAAAUAAAGUGCUUGUUAUCACUGAAUGGUAAAGAUUGUUU
rnacentral:lncRNA from 1 species